GCUGGGCAUGGUGGCCCGCGCCUGUAAUCCCAGCUACUUGGGAGGCUGAGGCAGGAGAAUCGCUUGAACCCGGGAUGCAGAGGUUGCAGUGAGCUGAGAUCAUGCCACUGCACCCCAGCCUGGGCGACGGAGUGAAACUCUAUCUCAAAAAUGGAAUCUCACUCUGUCGCCCGGGCGGGGGUGCAGUGGCAUGAUCUCGGCUUGCUGCAACCUCUGCAUCCUGGGUUCAAGCGAUUCUCCUGCCUU
rnacentral:SRP_RNA from 1 species